AUACUUGCCUGGCAGGGGAGGCACCAUGAUCACGAAGGUGGUUUUCCCAGGGUGAGGCCCAUCCAGUGCACUUCAGUGUGCUGAUCCCUGUGAUUUCCCCAAAUGCAGGAAAUUCAACUGCAUAAUCAGUGGUAGUGGGAAACUGCAUUUGCACCUUGCCC
ensembl:snRNA U1 U1 spliceosomal RNA